UCACUUGUUAUCAGUCAUCCAAACCAACUAUUUGUGUCUUUCGACACGCCUAAGCAAAGUUGUGCCUCCUUCGCAGGUUCCGUAAUCAGGAAGUAACGCUUUGUUUACAUCGUGGGCAAGUUAGGGGAAAAUACCUCAAACCAGAGCUGUACAACAUGGCCGACGACGUACUCUGCGUUCCUACACCUAGAGAUGGUGUCCCAUAUUUACAGAGACCAAGCCUCAAGAGGGGAAAUGGACAAGAUAGGGCCUCUUGUGUGUUCACUCUGGAAGGCAUGGGCUUCAGAGUAGGACACGGGCUUAGAGAAAGAAUAAUAGUGAAGACAUCAAAACUAUGAAAGAACACACAUGGAAUCAGGUAGUAACCAAAAAAGUGAUUUUCAUAUUUAUCCCAUGUCGUUUCAUUGGCUCUUUGUUGACUGUAUAUGCUAAAGCAACAACACAUAGUUGUGGGCAAAAUAACAUAUAUUUUUUUGCCACUAGAGGGUAGUCUCUGCAAAAUACUCUUCUGACAGCAAGCAGGUGAAUUGUGUCAGUGCAUUUUCCUUUGAAAAGAGAGCCCAGUUGAACAUUAUAGCAGUGAUAUCCAGCUCUCAAGUUGACUCUGUUAUUAUCUUGGGAUAUGAUCUGUCUGCCCUACCCUGCAUCAAAAGCAAUACAUUUAAGACCUGGAUUGAAGAUGAUGUUUGUACAAAAUUAUACUUUAAAGGGGCACUCUGCAGUUGCUACAUUUUUGUACUUGUGAAUGAUAUGUACCUAUUGAUUAUUUAAGAAUAUGAUUUAUAAAUGCCUCAGUGCUUAGUUCAACUGUUGUACCCCUUACAGAACACAAAAUAUAAGAUUAUUUUACCCCAAUGUUUGUAAAUAAAGUAAACGUAAACAAACACUAUAUAGCCUUAACUUGGUUAAAAACUAUAAUUUGGUAUGGUCAGUCCUUGCAUCCAUAGCUUUAUCUAUGAUUUUCAGAGUGGUUCCAUUUCUCCAGCCCAUCCCGCAGCUUUUUACCAAAACGAGCUGAGAGUACACUUUGUUAUUAUUACAACUACUGAUUGCCGCUUUAAAACACUAUUUGAUCUAGUUUGGUACUUCCUGAAAACAGGAAGUUACCUCAUCUCUUACUGUUCCAUGAGAAUGUUUUAUGGAUUGAAAUGCAUAAUUCUGUUCUGUUUACGAUCAGUGCCUCAGGCUCUAGAAAGGCUCUGUGUUCAGCUUUCAACAUUUCAAAGGGAGAGCCACCUACAGCCAAAACCUCUGUUUUGUAUGAAAUUGUGCUUACAUUUUUUUUAGGCAAGUCAGUAUAGAAAAAUGAUUUACUAUGACAGCCUACCCCGGGCAAACCCUAACCCAGACGAUGCUGGGCCAAUUGUAUGCUGCUAUAUGGGACGCCCAAUCAAGGCCCGUUGUGAUACAGCCUGGAAUCGAACCAGAGUCUGUAGUGGCGCCUCUAGCAGUGCAGUGCCUUAGAACACUGCGCCACUCGGGAGCCCCAACAGGACAUGAUUGAUCUAUUUGGCACAAAACUUUGUGAUGGUCAAAAUGGCAUAUUGUUAAGUACAGAGCAACAGAAUUAGCCUAGGUUAGAUAAAUCCUCUUCUAGUUUUUUACUUGUCCGGGGACUUUUAAGAGGAAGGAGGAUGUAUGUAGGCUAUGUGACUGGAGUGUGUCCCAGAUAUCCAUUCCCUUGUGAUCUUGGCUUCAUUCGUUUUGACAUCAAGCAGAAUAUUUUACAGUACAAAGCCUUUAAAUAUUCAACAUGGAAACCUCUCCCUACCUCUGAUGAUAGGUUUUAUACCCUUUUCAAAGACCCUGUCCUCUUCCUGAUUUUGACAUAUCAGUCAAGUCAGGUUUAUUAGUGCUCUCUUAAAACCAGCUUUAUUAGACUGACACAUCUGUUAUGUAAUUCUCUGUAAGAUUUUGGCUUUGGUUCACGUUACUUGGAAAUGUCUUGCCUUGGCCUUUUUAAGGAAAGGCAUUCUUAGGAUAAAGGGAUUUGUCAGUACCUCCAAAACCAAAACUUGUAUUGCUCCCCUCAACAUAGCCAAAGGUCGAUCAUUCCUUCACCUUAACGCGUCUUAAAUCGCCGUAUCCAAGCACAUAGUUCCACCGCGCCACACCGGCGCCUUCGCUUAAACGCCUUUUUUUUCCCCCUUUGAUGGAAAGAAACAAAUACAGAAUGCUUUGGCUUUAAACUAAGAUACACAAAGGAGAACGUAGGGCAAGACUACCCGGCGUGAGCCAUUCACCGGCUCUCUUUGUGGAGAACUUUUACUUUGCCACAGGGAGAAGUAAAUAAAUGCUCUGAGCCAGAUCUCCAGCUGUCUCACUUCUCCUUUCUAAAGCCAUAAAAAAAAAGAGAGGCUGGAGCGAGGCAGUGUCUACUCCUCCAUUCUAAAGCAGAGAAUUAACUAUGACCAACUUCAAACGCCCCGUCUGGUCUGAAUGUAUGUUCAAGUCAACAUCCUCCACAGUUCCACCUCUUCAUUUCUUGUCCUUCCAUUCCUUUAUUUUCCGUCUGAUGCAGUUCUGUUUUAUUUUUUUUUGGGGGGGGGGGUUUCCCCAAGCAUAACCACCUGUGCUGGAGCGCUUUCUUCCCUCAAAUGUUUUUUUUUUCUUUUCUUUUCUUCCUGUGUUGUGUACUGUUUCUGUUUUAUAUUUCUACCAUAUAGAGUUGGUUGUAGUGAAUGUAUUUCUGUUUUUUUUUUUUUUUUUUUUUUUUCUUUCAGGAAACCGGUUCAAAGACCUAUGCAAUUUUUACUACCAUGGUUGUUGUACUAUGCGUACCUGUACUUUAAUAGCUGUUAUGGUCUUUAAUUGUAUGUUUUUUUCCCCUCCAAAUAAAGAUCAUUUUUUGAACUCUU